rnacentral:sRNA from 1 species
UUCGCUAUGCCCUAGCGAUCUGCUAAACACAUCCGCGCGCAGGUCCGGACUGCAUCCGGGCCCUCUCUUUCAAAGAGUGUCCCUGCGCG